CAAAGAUUAAGCCAUGCAAGUCUAAGUACGAGCUCUCGUACAGUGAAACUGCGAAUGGCUCAUUAAAUCAGUUAUGGUUCAUUUGAUCGUACAGUUUACUUGGAUAACUGUGGUAAUUCUAGAGCUAAUACAUGCGAGAAGCGCCGACCUCGCGGGAGGCGUGCAUUUAUCAGACCAAAAACCGGCCGCGUCUUCGGGCGCGUUCGCCUUGGUGACUCUGGAUAACUUUGCGGAUCGCACGGUCUAGCACCGGCGACGGAUCAUUCAAGUGUCUGCCCUAUCAACUUUCGUCGGUACGGUAUUUGCCUACCGAGGUUCUUACGGGUGACGGGGAAUCAGGGUUCGAUUCCGGAGAGGGAGCCUGAGAAACGGCUACCACAUCCAAGGAAGGCAGCAGGCGCGCAAAUUACCCAUUCCCGACGCGGGGAGGUAGUGACGAAAAAUAACAAUGCAGGACUCGUUCGAGGCCCUGUAAUUGGAAUGAGUACACUUUAAAAGCUUUAACGAGUAUCCAUUGGAGGGCAAGUCUGGUGCCAGCAGCCGCGGUAAUUCCAGCUCCAAAAGUAUAUAUUUAAGUUGUUGCGGUUAAAAAGCUCGUAGUUGGAUUUUGGGCGCAGGCGGCCGGUCCGUCGCAAGGCGUGUACUGGACGUCCUGGCCUUCCCUCCGGUUCUCCGCCGGGGCUCUUGACUGAGUGUCG
rnacentral:ncRNA from 1 species